UACGGGGGGAACGAGCGUUGUUCGGAUUUACUGGGCGUAAAGGGCACGCAGGCGGGAAGACAAGUCAGAUGUGAAACCCCGAAGCUUAACUCCGGGCCUGCAUUUGAUACUGUUUUUCUUGAGUACGGGAGAGGAUGAUAGAAUUCUUGGUGUAGCGGUGAAAUGCGUAGAUAUCAAGAGGAAUACCGGUGGCGAAGGCGGUCAUCUGGCCCGAUACUGACGCUCAGGUGCGAAGGCCGGGGGAGCAAAC
rnacentral:rRNA from 1 species